rnacentral:misc_RNA from 1 species
AAUUAGAUUCAGUCGGUGGUUGGUACGGGAUGUAUUACAACACUGGACGGAUGAUUGCAUGGAAACUGUCGAUUCCUGGACGGCCAUUUUGAGAGACAGUGUGGGGACAGAAAAGAUCACGGACCUUCAGCUUAGUGUUGCCAUGGUGAUUCAGCACAAUGCCCUUGACCUCCUCAGGGAAUGCCAGACGACAUUAGGCACCAAGAAAAUGUUUGAGUUCUGGGAAAUGCUGACCAACCUUCAGCAAGAAGAUGACCCUGAGGUCAGAGAGGUCAUCACCAUGACACUUCAACUGCUGGGGAAUGCUAGAGCUGUACAGCCGUCCUUGACCUUGGACUACCUGGUAAGGUCAUUCAUUGACAUACAUGCUGCUACAAAGGGAGCUAACUGCCUGCUGACCCUCAUUUCAUGGAUCGUCAGCAAUGAAUCCUCAAGUGUAAGUCCUGGCCAUGCCAUCUGUUGUUUAUUUGAUACUCUGCUGUUGGUUGUUUAUACUAUUUGCACUGAAGCUGCAUGUCUACAUUACUCAUGAGGACUUGGGAGGAUUGCUGUCCUCAAUGCUACAUGUAGCUGCUUUUUAAAGAUGAAGGCAUGCAUCGUUUAAAGCACAGUCCCUUGAUGUUUCCUUUUGGCUGGCAACUUUAAAAUUUCUUUUUGUACUUGCUAGCAAUUUGAAUCUAAUCCAAACUUGAUUUAUUAUUAUUAUGACAUUGUUGAGUUGUUAAUGUAUGAGUCACUGAUCUAUAAUAGUGUAGAUAUGGGGAGGAUGGCUGCUCAAACAGUUUUUAAUCAACGAGAAAUUGAUCUUCCAUAGUACAAUCCCUGGAUUUCUUUUGUAGAGUAGCAACAUAUAAAACAUGUACUUACUAACCCACUGAUAAUAAAUGCAAUGAUAUGUAUCUCUUUGAAAGGGAGAUAAUUCAAAUGAAUCAUUUUCUUGGUAAACCAGGUAACUUUGGGGGUUUUUGUCCUCAUAUGUAUAUGUAUACAGUCAUGUUAUAAUCCCAGUAGGUUUACAAAAUGUUAUGCUUAUUGAAAACAGAGCAACUUUGUAUUUCUGUAUUUUUAUUGCACUUUUUAGGAGGGUUCCGAGCGGCUUUUUGACAAGAGUGAAAUGAACGUGUUCCGAGAGGAUGUUUUGUUUUAUCAGAUCAUAUUGAAGUAUUGCCUAGCCCUAAUUCAGCAUGGACACUUCAUAGCAUCACAAACCAAGCAUACAAACAACUCGCAAUGUCCAGAACCAGUUUCUCCAAAGGAGAGUGUGGCAUCAAGCAUCGACCAAGUUCUGUCACAGCUCCACCUAGUGGUGAAUCAGGAGGAGAACGAUAUGGAAAUGUCCAUUACGACGCUGUCACUAUUAGAAUCAGAUGUGAGGGAGGUCCUUGACCUGAUCCGAACAUUUAUGGAAACAAAGUCCCCAAGUUCAUUGACUAGUGACAAGGGGAGACCAUUUAUGAAGACUGGGGCAUUUCAGGAGAGUUUGUUGGACCAAUAUAAGUACCAAGUGUUGGGAUUCAUCUACAAACUUCUCUCUGAUUUAACAGGGCUUUCAAAGAAUGAUGAUCAGCUACCAACAUGUUUAAAUAACUUAAGUAAUGAAACCGAAAAUUCUACAUAUCCGAACUGUUUUGUUGCAAGUUGAUAAAUUGUUAAAGGAAUAUACUUACUUAUUGUGCAAAAGAGUCAAUUUUAGUAUCAUUGGUGCAAUAUUACAUAAUUUAUGUCUUCGGAAGUUUCUAUUAAAAAUAAAUUACU